AUGGAGAGCGCCUCCAAUGAGGAGAUGCUGCCCCCGGCGCUGCCUCUGGCGACGCUGAUUGGCCGCGAGCUCCGCGGCGGCGGCUCCGAGCGCCCGCUCGUGCGGUACGGCCACUCCGGCUUCGCCAAGCGCGGCGAGGACUACUUCCUGGUCAAGCCCGACUGCCUCCGCGUCCCCGGCGACCCUUCCUCGGCCUUUUCCGUCUUCGCUGUGUUCGACGGUCACAAUGGCGUGUCGGCGGCGGUGUUUAGCAAGGAGCACUUGCUCGACGAUGUGAUGAGCGCCGUGCCGCAAGGUAUCAGCCGCGAGGACUGGCUGCAGGUGCUGCCGCGCGCGCUUGUGGCAGGCUUCGUAAAGACAGACAUUGACUUCCAGCGCAAGGUCGGAGACUCCAGGUGCAUCCUUGACACUCAAGGUGGUGUGGUCUCUCUGCUAACCGUGGACCACAGGCUAGAGGAGAAUGCAGAGGAGCGGGAGCGUGUCACGGCGAGUGGAGGGGAGGUCAGCCGGCUGAACCUCUGCGGUGGACAGCAGGUUGGCCCUCUCCGAUGCUGGCCAGGUGGACUGUGCCUUUCAAGAUCAAUUGGGGAUACCGAUGUUGGGGAGUUCAUCGUGCCAAUUCCACAUGUCAAGCAAGUGAAGCUCUCUAGUGCUGGAGGAAGGCUAAUAAUUGCAUCAGAUGGAAUAUGGGAUGCAGUGUCCUCAGAGAUUGCAGCGCAGGCGUGCAGAGGCUUGCCUGCAGAAUUGGCCGCAAAGCUUGUUGUUAAGCAAGCUCUAAAGACAACUGGAUUGAAAGAUGAUACAACUUGUGUAGUUGUUGAUAUCAUCCCAUCUGAUCAUUGUUCAACACCACCACCGUCGUCUCCAAAGCAAAAUCAGAACAAGUUGAGGUCUCUUCUUUUUGGUAGGAGGUCCCAUAGCUCUGUUGGAAAGCUUGGUAACAAAAAAAAGUCUGCUUCAUUUGGAUUUGUGGAGGAAUUAUUUGAAGAAGGCUCUGCAUUGUUGGAAGAAAGGUUGGGUAGAAAUUGCCUGUCAAAAGCAAAUUUGCCCCCAUUUCGCUGUGCGAUCUGUCAAGUAGACCAAGUGCCAUUCGAAGAUUUAGUAACAGAUAGUGGGGAAGGUUACUGCUCUGCCCCGUCAACACCAUCGACCGCUCCUUAUCUUUGUUCUGGCUGUAGAAAAAAGAAGGAUGCAAUGGAAGGUAAAAGAUCUAGUCGCUCGACUGCAUGCACUUGA
rnacentral:rRNA from 1 species